rnacentral:rRNA from 1 species
GACGAACGCUGGCGGCGUGCUUAACACAUGCAAGUCGAACGGAAAGGCCCUGCUUUUGUGGGGUUCUCGAUUGGCGAACGGGUGAGUAACACGUGAGUAACCUGCCCUUGACUUUGGGAUAACUUCAGGAAACAGCGGCUAAUACCGGAUAGGAGCUCCUGCUGCAUGGGGGUGGUUGGAAAGUGUCGGCUGUUGGGGAUAGACUCGCGGCUUAUCAGCUUGUUUGUGUGGUAGUGGCUUACCAAGGGUUUGACGGAUAGCCGACCUGAGAGGGUUAACGGGCACAUUGGGACUAAGAUAGGGACCAGACUGCUACGGGCGGCAGCAGUGGAAAGUAUGGCGCAGUGAGGGGACGCCAGAUACAGAGGCGCCGCGUGCGUAAUGCCGGGCUUCGGGUUGUAAACAGAUUUCGAAUGUGACGAAGCGUGAGUGACGGUACUGGGUAAAGAAGCACCGGCUAACUACGUG